ACUAUUCUUUAUGAUGUUGGGCACUCUAUCGAGACCGACGGCGACAAGCCGUAGGAAGGUGGGAUGAUGUCAAGUCAGCAUGGCCUUUAUAUCCAGGGCUACACACGUCCUACAAUGACCGGUACAAAGGGAAGCAAGACCGCGAGGUGGAGCAAAUCCCAAAAAGCCGGCCUCAGUGCGGAUUGCAGUCUGCAACUCGACUGCAUGAAGUUGGAAUCGCUAGUAAUCGCAGGUCAGCAUACUGCGGUGAAUACGUUCCCGGGCCUU
rnacentral:rRNA from 1 species